rnacentral:rRNA from 1 species
CAGCAGCCGCGGUAAUACAGAGGGUGCGAGCGUUAAUCGGAUUUACUGGGCGUAAAGCGUGCGUAGGCGGCUUUUUAAGUCGGAUGUGAAAUCCCUGAGCUUAACUUAGGAAUUGCAUUCGAUACUGGGAAGCUAGAGUAUGGGAGAGGAUGGUAGAAUUCCAGGUGUAGCGGUGAAAUGCGUAGAGAUCGGAAGGAACAUCUGUGGCGAAGGCGACUAUCUGGGCCAACACUGACACUGAGGCACGAAAGCGUGGGGAGCAAACAGGAUUAGAUACCCGUGUAGUCCCUGUCUCUUAUAC